rnacentral:lncRNA from 1 species
CCAUACAAGAGAGUUACUCUUAUAGACAGACAAGAAAACUAAGGCAGAAACAGGAGCAGAUGAGACCAGCUUCAGACUCAUGGUGUUGGGCUUAUUCCAGCCUUCUCUUACUGAAGAACUUGGCUUGUGGGGAUCCUGGGGAUGCGCAGUGUAUUAAUGCAGCGUAGAGCUGGUCCAGCCCUCCUGUCUGCUGGAAGAGAGAGGAGCCUAGAAAGCAAUCUCCUGGGGAAGGAUGUGUCUCCAGGAAUGCCCGCCCGCCGACAAAAAGCAAUUAUGCUUCAAGAGGAAGAUUCAAAUGAUGUCUAUACCCCCAUACCCACUGAGGGC